rnacentral:rRNA from 1 species
GAUGAACGCUGGCGGCGUGCCUAAUACAUGCAAGUCGAGCGAACGGACGAGAAGCUUGCUUCUCUGAUGUUAGCGGCGGACGGGUGAGUAACACGUGGAUAACCUACCUAUAAGACUGGGAUAACUUCGGGAAACCGGAGCUAAUACCGGAUAAUAUUUUGAACCGCAUGGUUCAAAAGUGAAAGACGGUCUUGCUGUCACUUAUAGAUGGAUCCGCGCUGCAUUAGCUAGUUGGUAAGGUAACGGCUUACCAAGGCAACGAUGCAUAGCCGACCUGAGAGGGUGAUCGGCCACACUGGAACUGAGACACGGUCCAGACUCCUACGGGAGGCAGCAGUAGGGAAUCUUCCGCAAUGGGCGAAAGCCUGACGGAGCAACGCCGCGUGAGUGAUGAAGGUCUUCGGAUCGUAAGACUCUGUUAUUAGGGAAGAACAUAUGUGUAAGUAACUGUGCACAUCUUGACGGUACCUAAUCAGAAAGCCACGGCUAACUACGUGCCAGCAGCCGCGGUAAUACGUAGGUGGCAAGCGUUAUCCGGAAUUAUUGGGCGUAAAGCGCGCGUAGGCGGUUUUUUAAGUCUGAUGUGAAAGCCCACGGCUCAACCGUGGAGGGUCAUUGGAAACUGGAAAACUUGAGUGCAGAAGAGGAAAGUGGAAUUCCAUGUGUAGCGGUGAAAUGCGCAGAGAUAUGGAGGAACACCAGUGGCGAAGGCGACUUUCUGGUCUGUAACUGACGCUGAUGUGCGAAAGCGUGGGGAUCAAACAGGAUUAGAUACCCUGGUAGUCCACGCCGUAAACGAUGAGUGCUAAGUGUUAGGGGGUUUCCGCCCCUUAGUGCUGCAGCUAACGCAUUAAGCACUCCGCCUGGGGAGUACGACCGCAAGGUUGAAACUCAAAGGAAUUGACGGGGACCCGCACAAGCGGUGGAGCAUGUGGUUUAAUUCGAAGCAACGCGAAGAACCUUACCAAAUCUUGACAUCCUUUGACAACUCUAGAGAUAGAGCUUUCCCCUUCGGGGGACAAAGUGACAGGUGGUGCAUGGUUGUCGUCAGCUCGUGUCGUGAGAUGUUGGGUUAAGUCCCGCAACGAGCGCAACCCUUAAGCUUAGUUGCCAUCAUUAAGUUGGGCACUCUAAGUUGACUGCCGGUGACAAACCGGAGGAAGGUGGGGAUGACGUCAAAUCAUCAUGCCCCUUAUGAUUUGGGCUACACACGUGCUACAAUGGACGAUACAAAGGGCAGCGAAACCGCGAGGUCAAGCAAAUCCCAUAAAGUUGUUCUCAGUUCGGAUUGUAGUCUGCAACUCGACUACAUGAAGCUGGAAUCGCUAGUAACCGUAGAUCAGCAUGCUACGGUGAAUACGUUCCCGGGUCU